AUUGAACGCUGGCGGCAUGCUUUACACAUGCAAGUCGAACGGUAACAGGCCGCAAGGUGCUGACGAGUGGCGAACGGGUGAGUAAUGCAUCGGAACGUGCCCAGUCGUGGGGGAUAACGCAGCGAAAGCUGCGCUAAUACCGCAUACGAUCUCUGGAUGAAAGCGGGGGACCGAAAGGCCUCGCGCGAUUGGAGCGGCCGAUGUCAGAUUAGGUAGUUGGUGGGGUAAAGGCUCACCAAGCCAACGAUCUGUAGCUGGUCUGAGAGGACGACCAGCCACACUGGGACUGAGACACGGCCCAGACUCCUACGGGAGGCAGCAGUGGGGAAUUUUGGACAAUGGGCGCAAGCCUGAUCCAGCGAUGCCGCGUGCAGGAAGAAGGCCUUCGGGUUGUAAACUGCUUUUGUACGGAACGAAACGGUCCUGGUUAAUACCCGGGGCUAAUGACGGUACCGUAAGAAUAAGCACCGGCUAACUACGUGCCAGCCGCCGCCGUAACAC
rnacentral:rRNA from 1 species